rnacentral:rRNA from 1 species
GAUGAACGCUAGCGACAGGCCUAACACAUGCAAGUCGAGGGGUAUCGGUUUCGGCCGAGAGACCGGCGCACGGGUGCGUAACGCGUAUGUAACCUGCCUCACACUGGGGGAUAGCCUUCCGAAAGGGAGAUUAAUACCGCAUAAUAAUAUUGUCCUGCCUGGGACGAUAUUUAAAACUUCGGUGGUGUGAGAUGGACAUGCGUAUGAUUAGCUAGUUGGCGGGGUAACGGCCCACCAAGGCGACGAUCAUUAGGGGUUCUGAGAGGAAGAUCCCCCACACUGGUACUGAGACACGGACCAGACUCCUACGGGAGGCAGCAGUGAGGAAUAUUGGUCAAUGGGCGAAAGCCUGAACCAGCCAUGUCGCGUGCAGGAAGACGGCCCUAUGGGUUGUAAACUGCUUUUGUAUGGGAAGAAACGACNGGU